CAGUAGCUCAGUCGGUGGAGCGCUUGACUUGUAAUCAAGCGGUCGGGGGUUCAAUUCCCUCCUG
rnacentral:tRNA from 1 species